rnacentral:tRNA from 5 species
UGGAGAAUUCGCCUAGUGGUCUAUGGCGCACGCUUGGAAAGCGUGUUGGUGUAACAGCCUCACGAGUUCGAAUCUCGUAUUCUCCGCCC